CAGCAGCCGCGGUAAUACGUAGGGUGCAAGUGUUAAUCGGAAUUACUGGGCGUAAAGCGUGCGCAGGCGGUUAUAUAAGUCAGAUGUGAAAUCCCCGGGCUCAACCUGGGAACUGCAUUUGAGACUGUAUGGCUAGAGUGUGUCAGAGGGGGGUAGAAUUCCACGUGUAGCAGUGAAAUGCGUAGAUAUGUGGAGGAAUACCGAUGGCGAAGGCAGCCCCCUGGGAUAACACUGACGCUCAUGCACGAAAGCGUGGGGAGCAAACAGGAUUAGAUACCCCGGUAGUCCCUGUCUCUUAUAC
rnacentral:rRNA from 1 species